AUUGAACGCUGGUGGCAUGCCUUACACAUGCAAGUCGAACGGCAGCGGACCUUCGGGUGCCGGCGAGUGGCGAACGGGUGAGUAAUGCAUCGGAACGUACCUUUCAGUGGGGGAUAACGUAGCGAAAGUUACGCUAAUACCGCAUAUUCUGUGAGCAGGAAAGCAGGGGAUCGCAAGACCUUGCGCUGAUUGAGCGGCCGAUGUCAGAUUAGCUAGUUGGUGAGGUAAAGGCUCACCAAGGCGACGAUCUGUAGCGGGUCUGAGAGGAUGAUCCGCCACACUGGGACUGAGACACGGCCCAGACUCCUACGGGAGGCAGCAGUGGGGAAUUUUGGACAAUGGGGGCAACCCUGAUCCAGCCAUGCCGCGUGAGUGAAGAAGGCCUUCGGGUUGUAAAGCUCUUUCGGCCGGGAAGAAAUCGCGCAGGCUAAUACCUUGUGUGGAUGACGGUACCGGAAUAAGAAGCACCGGCUAACUACGUGCCAGCCGCCGCCGUAACAC
rnacentral:rRNA from 1 species